rnacentral:tmRNA from 1 species
GGGGCCGUUUUUGGAUUUGACAGGGUGGCGUAGAUUACGUUAGCAUGCAGUGCGUUGUACGGAGAGCACUUAAAAGAGAACGUUCACAAUUUUAGUUGGCGAAAAUACUUACGCCUUAGCUGCAUAGUUUAGAACUAUCUAGCUUUUGUCCCUCUAGUUGCUGCAUUGUUAGACUAGAAACCGGGGCAUCGAAAUAACAAAGCUGGCCGUGUUUAGGUAUGACGCACGGUGAGAUAAAGUACCUAAGGUUUUAAGUAAGGUCGGUUUUCAGCCCGUUUAAUCCCCGAAAAUUAAUUGAAAAAUAAGCAUGUAGAAGAUUUAAUACUUCACACAACUGGACAAGGGUUCGACUCCCUUCGGCUCCACAG